CUUGCAUGACAGGUCCCAACACCAGUAUGAAGAACCAUGGCAGGCAAAAAAGAGCAAAAUGGCAAUUAUGCUGUCUGGAUCAUAAAAUCGACUAAGUCACAAUAUGGUUUAUUUGAUUUUGCCUCUGCAAAUAUGCACUUAGCUAAAUUGGCUUAGACAAAUGUGGCUGAUUCAGUAAUCCAGGGUUAAGCAGAGGUUGCUGAGAGAAUGGGUUUACUUGGUUUGAUAUAAAUUAGGCUUUCUACGGCCUUUUCCCACUACAGAGUAGAAACAUCUGCCCAUCCUUGAGCCUGUUUGUUUAUUUAUGGGAUUUAUAGGCUGCUCCAGUUUGACACUACUCUGAGCAACCUAUAAAUUCCAUUAAUAAAGAAAUAGCACUGGCAUCUGUUGGCUGUUUCAAAUAACUUCAGUCACUUGAAACCACCCCCCGCCCCCGGCCAGCACCUCCCGUGUGUCUGCUUGCCAUAACUGCACCAGAUCUGUAGGAGUUUUGCCAGCCUGUAUAGGAGAAACAGAAAUAAGGACGUUUAAGAAGUUCCAAACUGACAUGAAAAGCUUCCAUUGCCUCAAAACUUGCAUAUACAUGUUCUGAUUUAUUGAAUGCUAGUGGAGAGCAUCUGGAAAAGAAACCACUUUUUUUUUUUUUUUGCUGCUGCUGCUGCUGCUGCUUCUGCUGCUAUUGAUUUAUCUGCAAAUGUUACCCACCGUAUAAGCCACAACAGGUACUCCACAACUUCUGCUACACCAGUGCGAGUGGCCACAUGUAAAGGAGUACUGAGAAGCUGAGUUCAAACCGGUGAUGAAGAAAUGUAAAAAACAAAAGCAGAAAAGGAUAAAUAUGAUUCCCUGUCAUCUAUUUUUUUCUUGAAAGGGAUGAAGAAUUGGCACCAUGGUAAGGAACAGGAAGGUCUGCUGACUCUGCUUGGCUUCUCUUCUUUCAUUUACAAAGAGAGUAGAUUCAUUUGUGUACCCAUUUGAAAAGUCCAAGAAAAGGACUGUUGGACUGAUAGAAAUCCCAAGCAAGAGCAAGAGCUGCAGAUAAACAAAAUGAGGCCAGAGAAGCUGUUUUUAAUUUCUCCUAAUACUUUCUUGUUCUCCUCUAAGGUCAGGUCUCAGAACACUAGAAGUCAAGGAAAAUGAAUGUCAGGAACAACUUUGAAGAUAGACAGAAUGUGUUUCUCUUGCCACUUCAUAAAAAAUGUAUUUUCAACAGCUGACAUUAGCAGAAUUCCUAUUCUACAUCUUUCUUAAGAUGAAACAAUGUGUAUGUUAUUGUCCUGUGAACAAAGGAGACUGUUACUUGUUUUCUUACUAUAUGUUCCUGUUGCAGAUGCCAUAGAAAUUGUACCUAAUAAUGGAGCAUGUGCUGUAAUUUAAAUAUUAACUUUCCUGAUCUAUUGCUUGAUCAAAUAAUUUUUUUUACUGGUAUAGCAUUAUUUCUUUUAAAUUUUUUAUCCCUCCUUUCUGUUAAUUAACAAACCAUGUUAGAAAAAAUAAUGCAUGAAUAUAAGAUAAAUCAAAUGAUAAAAACAUGAUAGUUUAGUCACAAAUUAAAAUUAAAUAUAAAGAAGGCCAAACUAAUGACAACAGGUAGAAUAACCAGCCUUAGAAUUGA